rnacentral:rRNA from 1 species
GAAUUUUGGACAAUGGGCGAAAGCCUGAUCCAGCCAUGCCGCGUGCAGGAUGAAGGCCUUCGGGUUGUAAACUGCUUUUGUACGGAACGAAAAGGUCUUUUCUAAUAAAGAAGGCUCAUGACGGUACCGUAAGAAUAAGCACCGGCUAACUACGUGCCAGCAGCCGCGGUAAUACGUAGGGUGCAAGCGUUAAUCGGAAUUACUGGGCGUAAAGCGUGCGCAGGCGGUUAUAUAAGACAGAUGUGAAAUCCCCGGGCUCAACCUGGGAACUGCAUUAGUGACUGUAUAGCUAGAGUGCGGCAGAGGGGGAUGGAAUUCCGCGUGUAGCAGUGAAAUGCGUAGAUAUGCGGAGGAACACCGAUGGCGAAGGCAAUCCCCUGGGCCUGCACUGACGCUCAUGCACGAAAGCGUGGGGAGCAAACAGGAUUAGAUACCCUGGUAGUCCACGCCCUAAACGAUGUCAACUGGUUGUUGGGAAUUUACUUUCUCAGUAACGAAGCUAACGCGUGAAGUUGACCGCCUGGGGAGUACGGCCGCAAGGUUAAAACU